GCGACCCCAGGUCAGAUGGGAUUACCCGCUGAGUUUA
rnacentral:rRNA from 1 species